GAUGAACGCUGGCGGCGUGCCUAACACAUGCAAGUCGAGCGAUGAAGUUUUCUUCGGAAAACGGAUUAGUGGCGGACGGGUGAGUAACACGUGGGCAACCUGCCUUAUAGAGGGGAAUAGCCUUCCGAAAGGAAGAUUAAUACCGCAUAACAUUAUCGGAUGGCAUCAUCUGAUAAUCAAAGGAGCAAUCCGCUAUAAGAUGGGCCCGCGUCGCAUUAGUUAGUUGGUGGGGUAAUGGCCUACCAAGACGACGAUGCGUAGCCGACCUGAGAGGGUGAUCGGCCACAUUGGGACUGAGACACGGCCCAGACUCCUACGGGAGGCAGCAGUGGGGAAUAUUGCACAAUGGGGGAAACCCUGAUGCAGCAACGCCGCGUGAGCGAUGAAGGUCUUCGGAUCGUAAAGCUCUGUCUUUAGGGAUGAUAAUGACAGUACCUAAGGAGGAAGCCACGGCUAACUACGUGCCAGCAGCCGCGGUAAU
rnacentral:rRNA from 1 species